rnacentral:lncRNA from 1 species
CUGUGCAUAGCGAAGAGCACUGCAGCGCACCCACAGCUAAGGAGGAAGCGUGCACACCGCACAGCAGCUGUCACUUGCCACUGCACGUAUCAAUGGCUUCCCUGCAUCUCAGGAAUGUAUGACAGAAGACUGCAUGUCGAAUAGGUAUGUUGUAGCAAAGCUAGCUGACGAUGAUCUUCCUUCUUGCCACUAGUCACUGACAACCGGUACGGGCAGCAGAGCACUCUGCUGCUCUGCUGCUUCCUUGUUCGCGCUUUGUAUCCUGCGGCGAUUCCUCUCUAACAGAGGUGAAGUGUCGUCUCCUGCUCACAGAACACUCUGCUGGUAGGUUUUGCUUCUGCCAAACCACGCCUGGCGUGUGCACUUUUCUUCUAAACCCUCUGUACCAUACCAGAUUGCCCUGCUCCUUGUAAGCGUACCUGCCCUCUUUCAGCUGUGCGUAGCGAAGAGCGCUGCAGCGCACCUACAGCUAAGGAGAAAACGCGCACAGCGCACAAUAGUUCUCACUUUGCACUACACAUCGAAAUGAGCUCUCUGCAGCACGGAUAUGUACCAUUGAAGGCUGCGUGUCGAAUAGCUUCAGAUAUCCACAGUGAAUUUCUGACAAGGGAGAGGGGCAGGAUUUCUGUGGGAUGUGCCUGUGUGAACGUUGAUGAAUAUCCUCAGCUCCAAUUCUGUCUCUCCCUCUGGAUGCUCAAAAGUGGCUCCAGUGCCCAGAAAAGCCUCCCCUGGGCCCAGCAUCCUGUGCUCAGUGUCACAUGGAGGUGAGUCUGGGGUACCAUUGUGUUAUAUUUCAGUAUUUUCAGAGGAGAGGAGCUUUCAGUGAAUGGGGAGUGCUGUAAGAAUUGCUGGGGAAGAGCAGGGACAGGAGAGAGUAAUUCCAGAGCAGCUGGAAGGAAAGGUGAAGCUGGGCUUCACUCCAGUGCAGUUCCAGUAUGUUAAUCCAAGAAAAAAAAAAAAGUUUUUCAUAAGCCUGGGCUCCUCAUGCUGAUUUUACAGCUGAUUUUUAUUUUCAGUGCUGCUGUGCCCUGUCUCAGAGGAACCCAGGGAGCUGCAG